rnacentral:rRNA from 1 species
UCUUGGGGGUUUUUUUUACUCGUGUUGUGAAAUGUUGGGUUAAGUCCCGCAACGAGCGCAACCCUUAUCCUUUGUUGCCAGCGGUUCGGCCGGGAACUCAAAGGAGACUGCCAGUGAUAAACUGGAGGAAGGUGGGGAUGACGUCAAGUCAUCAUGGCCCUUACGAGUAGGGCUACACACGUGCUACAAUGGCGCAUACAAAGAGAAGCGACCUCGCGAGAGCAAGCGGACCUCAUAAAGUGCGUCGUAGUCCGGAUUGGAGUCUGCAACUCGACUCCAUGAAGUCGGAAUCGCUAGUAAUCGUAGAUCAGAAUGCUACGGUGAAUACGUUCCCGGGCCUUGUACACACCGCCCGUCACACCAUGGGAGUGGGUUGCAACAAGAAGUAGGUAGCUUAACCUUCGGGAGGGCGCUUACCACUUCCCCGCU